CACAGUUCUAAUAUAGAAUGUUGUGGGUUCUGAAUUUGCUCGUGUAAGCCAAGCGCAAACACUACUAUCAGUAACACUGUCAAAGCUGUACAAAAAAAGUCUGCAAACACCAGCCAUGAACGAUUUGUUUACAAUACCGCGUUCGUUAACCGGGCAUGUUCACUAGAUAACGUUAAAUUGCCGCUUAUUGUGACUCGCUUGUGGGCGUGCUGGCAGCAUUUUGACCGUGCGUCAAAAAUUCAGCAUAGCAAGUUUGUAUGAGGGUCUGAUUAUUAAAUGAGUAAUUCGAUCAAUAGUAAUAUCCUCUAAAACGCUCUGGUGACAAACUUUGCUACCCUGUUUCCAAUUGUUCACAUGGCUGGGAGAACCUAUUCAAUUAAUGUGUAGGGCACUGCAAGGUUGGGUGACCAGGGCCACUAGGGACUGCCUCCUGGAGGAAUUCAGGUGUGUGAAGGCUACCUGUGUCCUGCAUAACUUCAUGAGGAUGGACACACGGACCAGAGGAGAAGUCUGCUGCUCUGCAGGAUGUUUCAAGGAUGGGGUCCAACAACGCAGCAAGAGAGGCAAUCUGUGUGCCGGAGAUCUUCACCUCCUACUUCUACUAAGAGGGUGCUGUUCCCUGACAAUGCCAUAGACUACACUAUGCACAACCAAAGGCUCUUUUAAGAGCCAUUCACAUUGCAAUAAGAGUAUUCUUCCAUUUACUUAGCUAUGUCAACUGCAGUUAUUCAAUUCCCACUUUCUCUCCCUUUGAUUUCUACUUCAGGUGAGGGUGCUUUUUAGGUAAGGGUGUGAUGUCUGUACAAAAACAAAACGGGCUAUUUUAAAUCACCCAUAUUGAAAAAAUGUAGAACAAUUAGACACCCUAUAACCCAAACACAUGUAUCAAUCUGAUUGAUGAAUUGUGUUGUGCAGUAAGCAGGCUCAGGUGUAUAACUGGCUCCUUCCACCUUCAAAAAAUAGGCAAGGCCAACAAUGGAGAACAGUAAGACACUUCAUUAUUUCUAUAACUACGCUAUAUUGUUUGUCCUCGUGUGUCCGUUCAUGUUUUUCAGCAUAAAAUACUCUGUAGCCACUUAGUAUGAACACCAGGUGAGGCCACACGCACAAAUUCCUGUUGAACACUUGUCUCUUUAACUAUCUUAUUUUCUCAAUAAGUCUUUCUUCUUCACUUCAUCCCUCUUCUUCCUAAAUCCUCUAGGUUAUAUCAGCUGUGUAGGUGAACCCCUCCCGCAUCAGACCUGGCUACAUAGAGGGCACAGCAUGAUAUAUUUUGACAUGAGAGGAUGCAGACCCCCAGUUCCAUCAUCGCCACCUUACCCGCUCUUAAGAUAACCUUCUAGCCAACUACAAACACUACGUAAUUUUGAUGAACUGAGAGAACAUUUGGGUAGCACUGAUUCAUUAAUCAUAUGCUGCCUUCCCUGCUCUUACCUCUUUCCCUUUUACACCUCUUCCUCUGUUUUUAUAAUGCACAACAGAUGUGCAUUGAAGUACAGAUUGAACUUGUAUUUAUAUUAUAAUAUUUAAUGCAUGUAUUUAUAACACUUGGAUAAUGAACUUCUUUCAAUAAAGCAUUUCACGUUCUC
rnacentral:lncRNA from 1 species